UACGAAGGGUGCAAACGUUGCUCGGAAUUAUUGGGCGUAAAGAGCUCGUAGGCGGUUUGUCGCGUCUGCUGUGAAAACCCGAGGCUCAACCUCGGGCCUGCAGUGGGUACGGGCAGACUAGAGUGCGGUAGGGGAGAUUGGAAUUCCUGGUGUAGCGGUGGAAUGCGCAGAUAUCAGGAGGAACACCAAUGGCGAAGGCAGAUCUCUGGGCCGUAACUGACGCUGAGGAGCGAAAGCGUGGGUAGCGAACAGG
rnacentral:rRNA from 1 species